GACGUAGGGUGCGAGCGUUGUCCGGAAUUAUUGGGCGUAAAGAGCUCGUAGGUGGUUUGUCGCGUUGUCCGUGAAAACUCACAACUCAAUUGUGGGCGUGCGGGCGAUACGGGCAGACUGGAGUACUGCAGGGGAGACUGGAAUUCCUGGUGUAGCGGUGGAAUGCGCAGAUAUCAGGAGGAACACCGGUGGCGAAGGCGGGUCUCUGGGCAGUAACUGACGCUGAGGAGCGAAAGCGUGGGGAGCGAACAGG
rnacentral:rRNA from 1 species